GAACUGCGAUAAGUAAUGUGAAUUGCGGAAUUCAGUGAAUCAUCGAGUCUUUGAACGCACAUUGCGCCCCCUGGCAUUCCGGGGGGCAUGCCUGUCCGAGCGUCAUUGCUGCCCUCAAGCCCGGCUUGUGUGUUGGGUCGUCGUCCCCCCCGGGGGACGGGCCCGAAAGGCAGCGGCGGCACCGUGUCCGGUCCUCGAGCGUAUGGGGCUUUGUCACCCGCUCGAUUAGGGCCGGCCGGGCGCCAGCCGGCGUCUCCAACCUUAUUUUUCUCAGGUUGACCUCGGAUCAGGUAGGGAUACCCGCUGAACUUAAGC
rnacentral:misc_RNA from 1 species